UAAUAUUUGUUGACUAGUAGUCACUGAACUAUUCCGUGCAGUUAGCACAAGAUUUUUCCUGGUCGGGGACUGACCAUGAGGUGGACACGUCAGUUGAUAUUAGACUCUUGUAGAGAGAGGAGCGUUGUCAUCUCCUCAGGUAUAUUAUAUGUGCACUGAGUAAUUAUUAUAAAGUUUUCAACGGAUUACAUUUUAUGAUGGCUGAAGUCGCCAAUAUCUUUUGUGAUUUAUUAUUAUGUGAAUAAAAUCCAUGUCUGCUAACGUAGUGUUUAUUAAUGAUUCUAAAUGUUGUGGUCGUAGAGUUCAGCAUGAUAGUGUUCUUGCACACCAGCAAAUAUAGUGCGUGUGAGAAUUAUUUAGUUAGUAAGGCAAAGAACUUUAUAGUGGUACCAGAAGAGGUAGCUACAACACACAAAGGCAGACCUGCUCAAGA